rnacentral:rRNA from 1 species
UACGAAGGGGGCUAGCGUUGCUCGGAAUGACUGGGCGUAAAGGGCGCGUAGGCGGAUGGCACAGUCAGAUGUGAAAUUCCCGGGCUUAACCUGGGGGCUGCAUUUGAUACGUGUGAUCUAGAGUGAGGAAGAGGGUCGUGGAAUUCCCAGUGUAGAGGUGAAAUUCGUAGAUAUUGGGAAGAACACCGGUGGCGAAGGCGGCGACCUGGUCCUUGACUGACGCUGAGGCGCGAAAGCGUGGGGGAGCAAACAGG